rnacentral:rRNA from 1 species
ACGCUGGCGGCGUGCUUAACACAUGCAAGUCGCACGAGAACGCUUCAGCUUGCUGAAGUAAGUAAAGUGGCGCACGGGUGAGUAACGCGUGGGUAAUCUACCCUCAAAUUGGGGAUAACCCGCCGAAAGGCGGGCUAAUACCGAAUGACAUCUUGAAGACUUAUGUUUUCAGGAUCAAAGGUGGCCUCUACAUGUAAGCUAUUGUUUGGGGAUGAGCCCGCGUACCAUUAGCUUGUUGGUAGGGUAAUGGCCUACCAAGGCUACGAUGGUCAGCUGGUCUGAGAGGAUGAUCAGCCACACUGGAACUGACACACGGUCCAGACUCCUACGGGAGGCAGCAGUGAGGAAUUUUGCGCAAUGGGGGAAACCCUGACGCAGCAACGCCGCGUGAGUGAUGAAGGCUUUCGGGUCGUAAAGCUCUGUCAAGUGGGAAGAACUCAUAUGGUGUUAAUAUCUCCAUAUGUUGACGGUACCACUGAAGGAAGCACCGGCUAACUCCGUGCCAGCAGCCGCGGUAAUACGGGGGGUGCGAGCGUUAUUCGGAAUUACUGGGCGUAAAGAGCGCGUAGGCGGUCUUUUAAGUCAGGUGUGAAAGCCCGGGGCUCAACCCCGGAAGUGCACUUGAAACUAAGAGACUUGAGUAUGGGAGAGGGAAAGUGGAAUUCCUGUGUAGCGGUGAAAUGCGUAGAUAUCAGAGGAACAUCAGUGGCGAAAGCGACUUCCUGACCAAUACUGACGCUGAGGCGCGAAAGCGUGGGGAGCAAACAGGAUUAGAUACCCUGUAGUCCACGCAGUAAACGGUGAACACUAGGUGUAGCGGGUAUUGACCCCUGCUGUGCCGCAGCAAACGCAUUAAGUGUUCCGCCUGGGGAGUACGGCCGCAAGUUAAAACUCAAAGGAA